rnacentral:tRNA from 1 species
AUUGUGGAAAUUCCCCAAUCAGAAAUACUUAAAUUGUUCAUAUAGUUUAACUCAAAACAUUACAUUUUCAUUGUAAAAUCAAACAAUCUUUUAUGA